AUGGCUACCACCACCAUCACCACCAUCAUCACUAUCAUCAUCACUACCACCAUCAUCACCACAACCACCACCACCACCACCAUCACUAUCAUCAUCAUCAUCACCACCACCAUCAUCACCAUCAUUAUCACUACCACCAUCAUCACCAUAACCAUUACCAUCAUCAUCAUCAUUACCAUUAUGACUAUCAUCAUUAUCACCAUCAUCACCAUCAUUAUUACCAUCAUCAUCAUCACCAGCAUCAUCUGCAAUAGCAUCAUCUUUUCUUCUCCAAAGCUGAGAGUAGAGUUCAGGAUCACAGAGUAUGGCCAGAGCUCAGGCCAACUGGACAAAGCCUCUCUCGAUGACAGGGAUCCUUGCUCAACUCAGAGUGGAUGGCAUCAGACUAAUAUGUAAAACAGGAAAGAGGGAAGAAGCUGUUCUGGCUGAAUGGAGGGCAUCUGCCUCGAGUCCUGCCCAGCCUCCUGGACCCUCAGAGCUUUGCCAAGUGCCAUUUAAGAACCCCCAGCAGAGGUUCCCUCUUCUUUCCAUUCUACAAAAGAGGAAACUGGGAGAAGCUAGGUUAAGACCCUUCCCUAAGGUGGCUGGGGAGGAUGGACCCCUGGGGAGCCGAUCGGAGCCCCCCCUCCUGGUCUGUAUCCUAGGACCUCCAUUUUCAUAAGUUCCACGUUCCUCCAAGUGCCACGCUCCAUCCAGCCCAUGUAAUUGAGGCCAAUUAUUUAGUACAAAAGAACAGAGAACGUACCAG
rnacentral:lncRNA from 1 species